CUACGGGCCGCUGCAGUGGGGAAUAUUGCACAAUGGGCGAAAGCCUGAUGCAGCAACGCCGCGUGAGCGAUGAAGGCCUUCGGGUCGUAAAGCUCUGUCCUCAAGGAAGAUAAUGACGGUACUUGAGGAGGAAGCCCCGGCUAACUACGUGCCAGCAGCCGCGGUAAUACGUAGGGGGCUAGCGUUAUCCGGAAUUACUGGGCGUAAAGGGUGCGUAGGUGGUUUCUUAAGUCAGAGGUGAAAGGCUACGGCUCAACCGUAGUAAGCCUUUGAAACUGAGAAACUUGAGUGCAGGAGAGGAGAGUAGGAUUCCUAGUGUAGCGGUGAAAUGCGUAGAUAUUAGGAGGAAUACCAGUUGCGAAGGCGGCUCUCUGGACUGUAACUGACACUGAGGCACGAAAGCGUGGGGAGCAAACAGGAUUAGAUACCCUUGUAGUC
rnacentral:rRNA from 1 species